GAUGAACGCUAGCUACAGGCUUAACACAUGCAAGUCGAGGGGAAACGGCAUCGAAAGCUUGCUUUUGAUGGGCGUCGACCGGCGCACGGGUGAGUAACGCGUAUCCAACCUGCCCAUCACUUGGGAAUAACCUUGCGAAAGUAAGACUAAUGCCCAAUGACAUCCCACGAAGGCAUCCGAAUGGGAUUAAAGAUUUAUCGGUGAUGGAUGGGGAUGCGUCUGAUUAGCUUGUUGGCGGGGUGACGGCCCACCAAGGCAACGAUCAGUAGGGGUUCUGAGAGGAAGGUCCCCCACAUUGGAACUGAGACACGGUCCAAACUCCUACGGGAGGCAGCAGUGAGGAAUAUUGGUGAAUGGGCGAGAGCCUGAACCAGCCAAGUAGCGUGCAGGAUGACGGCCCUAUGGGUUGUAAACUGCUUUUAUAAGGGAAUAAAGUGGGUCACGUGUGACUUUUUGCAUGUACCUUAUGAAUAAGGACCGGCUAAUUCCGUG
rnacentral:rRNA from 1 species